rnacentral:rRNA from 1 species
AUGCAACCGAGGCCGAAUUGUCUCGCGCUCUUGCCGAUGCCAUCCACCGCCGCCGCAGGCGAGCCCUCCCCGUCGUUCCCCCACGCCGUGACCACCCCCGACGGGUGGCACCCCCGCACAGCGGAGCGCCGCCUGCUCCAUCUACUGCACCACUCCUCCCGCGCCCGGCGACGCCCGCUCGAGCUCCUCGCCUUCGCCGUCCGCCAUUGCCUGCAUUCCUCCCCGCCCUCCACGCAGCACCACUUCCUCGCCGCGCUCCUCCUCCUCUCCUCCCCUCCGCCGCCGGCUCUCUCUCUCCUGAGCCUCCUCCCUCCUGAACCCCCGCCUCCCCUCGCACUCCUCAACGCCGCCCUCAAGUCCCUGUCCGCCCCCUCUCCGCCCCUCGCGCUCCGCCUCCUAUCCUCCCUUCGCCGCCUCCAUGCCCCCGAUCGCCUGUCCUUUCUCCCGCUGCUCGGGUCCACCUCCUCGUUGCCGCUCCUCUCAGCCCUCCAUGGCCUCCUCCUCCGCCUCGGCUUCCUCUCCCACCACGCCAUCUCCCUCGCGCUCCUCCAGCCCUAUCCUCUGCCCCACGCACGAAUCCUGUUCGACGAAAUGCCCCUGCAGAGAAAGUGCACCAUCGCCUACAACACACUCAUCACUGCUUAUGUGAAAGCCAAGGAUAUUUUCACCGCACGCCAUCUGUUUGAUGUAAUGCAGCGGUUCAAGCGCUCUAGGAGAAGCAUGAUUUCCUGGAAUGCUAUGAUCGCAGGGUGUACUUGGUGUGGGAGGGACGACAUGGCAGUGCGGUAUUUCCAAGACAUGGUGAGGGAGGGCAAGGUAGCGCCAGAUGAUGGGACCCUCGCCGCGGUGCUGCCUGCUUGUGGGAGGACGGGGAAUGCUGGUGCCGGGAGGUGGGCGCACGAGUAUGCAUGCAAGAUGGGUAUCUUAGACAGCUCGGUGCAUGUUGCUAAUGCGGUGGUAGAUAUGUAUUGCAAGUGUGGCGAUGUGAGCAGCGCAAGAGAGGUGUUCGAAGGGAUGCAACAGCGGAGUGUGGUGAGCUGGAACACAAUGAUCUCUGGACUUUCAUUGAAUGGGCAAGGGAUUAAGGGGAUUGAACUGUUCCGGCAGAUGGUGAGGUCCGGAGGGGAGCCUAAUUCAGUGACUUUCCUGGGGUUGCUUGGUUGCUGUGCCCAUGCUGGGGCAGUAGAUACUGGGCAGGUGAUCUUCCAGAUUAUGCAGUCAGAGCAUGGGAUUGAGCCGGGAAUUGAACAUUAUGGAUGUAUGGUAGAUUUACUUGGAAGGUCCGGCCUUCUCAAAGAGGCACAUGCGCUGAUUCAAGGGAUGCCAAUGAGCCCUAAUUCUGCAAUAUGGGGAUCACUUCUAAGCGCCUGCCGUGCCCAUGCUGGGCUCGGCAUUGCCGAGGUGGCUCUCAAAGAGCUUAUUAGUCUGGAACCUUGGAAUUCAGGGAACUAUAUGCUGUUGGCCAAUCUUUAUGCGGAAACACAACGUUGGGAGGAGGCAGGUGAUGUGAGGAAACUGAUGAGGAGGAUGACUGUGCAAAAGGCACCAGGGCAGAGCCUAAUUGAAGAACCAAGUUCAAGUUGA